CAUGGUCUCAUGAUAACAGCGAUUUAUAAUACCACUAAAGCCAUGAUAUCGCUAAAGCCUAAAAUGCUUUCAAAAUUCUUAAGUGCUGAAGAGUUAAGAUCUUCGUGAUAGAAGUCGAGUUUAUGGCUGGCAUGUUAGAUAUUUAAGAUUGCAACAGAUUGCAACAUUAAUCAAGAUACUUAAUAAACAUUGAAUCCCAAGGAUGACAUAUAUGAAAAACGAUACCGAUAUUUUGGGAACAAGACUUAAACAUUGAAGACCAAGAAUAUCAAAUAAGUGUUAAAAAAUAUUUAAAAAAGCAAAAAUAAUAUAAGAUGAAAAAUAUUUUUGCACCCCAUGUAAAACCAAACAAAACGCUGAUUGUCCUAUUUUAUUGAAUAUAAAUAUCAUGUGAUACAUGUAUGAUACAAAUUUGAUAAUAAUAAAAAAAAAUUAAAUAUUGAAAUAAGAUGUCCAUUCAUUUUAACAUGGAAAAGUAUUUAGAUUUAUCUUAUAAAGCUUUAAAGGAAAUCAUGUAUAUAAAUUAUAUGAAGUUCUCAUAGAUAAAGGUUUAAAUACGAUAUUUAUGUAAGUAACUACAUCACACACAUCAAAAAUAACAAUAUCAGACUGCAGAAGUAUCAAAAUGGUAACCAAUCAUGUGGAAAAGAUCAAAGCAAAACUUGUACAUUGGAGACUUGUUGGAUGGGAUAACAGUAUAACAACAACUAAACCUUCAAAAUGUCAUAAACAUUAACACCAAACACAGGAUGUUUACAUGUCGGUAUAGUACAUGCUUCCGUUAUAACAAAAUUGUAAACAGAACUAUCCAACUGCAAGUUGUCACCACGACCAUUUCAACUAGUAAAUUCUCAUAACAUUGAUACAGUGAAGUAAAUACCGUGCAGAAUAUGAAAAUUAUUUGUCAGCUUAAUCUCAAAGCCCGUAGACGAAAAGAAGAAGGAGAUUCAGUAAGUAGGUAAUAAAAACAAGUGCUCAGUAUGAUAACAUUGGUGAACAAUAACAUCAUUAUUAUUAUUAGUUAUCAUUAUUCAUUACCUAUAUAUUAAGAAAGAAUAUUAUUUUACAAUAGAUUGUCCUAUUAUUUAAAAAUUUUUUUUUGUUAAAUAACAUUUUCAUUUAAUUUUAAACAGAAGGGGGCAAUGAAUAAUUAUUAUUCAAUUAGAGCUUAGGAUCUUUGGAUGCAUAGACAUAAUAAUGUCUUUAUUAUUUGUAGUCAUAUCUAUUCCUAACUAAUAACUAUGUAAUUUAUUAAACUAUCUGGAUUAUUCCUGGAGGCCCAUUUUAGAAAUUGAUUGAUUCUGUUCACAAGUUAAGUUGCUCAUAUUUAAGAGCCAUAUAUAUCAAUCAAAGAUCUAAGCCAGUCCAAUGAAAUAUUAUCUCCUUGGUAUUUUUUUAGAUUCUGAGCAGAGCGAGGAAGCUAGUGGAUUUACAAGUGUUUAUUUUUUAUUUUAUUUUUUUUUUUUGUUACUGUGUACAAAAUUUCUACCAGAAGGAGUGUUUUGAUUUCAACAAAAAGUACUUUAUCUUUUUAGCAAAUUGGAUCAAGAUGGUACUUUAAAGAGCAUGUUUGUUUCAUUGAUUUCCUCUGGUUCCAGAGGUACUGUAAGAACUAGAGGUACUACUAUAUGUAUAUUAUUUUCCAUUUCCUCUUCUUGGGGACUUAAGUUAGGAAUCCAAUUCUUAAGAUCACCAGAAACUUCUUUCCCCUCCAUAGUUGUUUUUAAUGAAUCAAAAGUUAAUAAUGAAAAGUUGGACAAUAUACCUCAAGCACCUUUAAAUCUGCUUGUAAUUGACUUGAUCCAAUACUACAAAAUAAACUUCAAUUUUAAAUUGGUCAUAAGGAUUUGUUAUUACUUUACUAGAAAAAACUUCUCCAAGCAACAGUUUCUUAUGGCGGAUACAUAUAUUUGGCAAUCCACAUUCAACUAAUUCAAACCCUGCUGGUUUCUUUAAUCAGUUAUUCAAUAUAGUUAUCAUCCGGUAGACAGAAAAAAAAACUAUGAAAAUAUGAAACAAAUUUUUGUAUUUUACUAUAUUAUGCAUUUAUGUCAUAUUAUUCACUUAUUAUUGUAAGUUUGAAAAUAUAUAAGAAACAAUCUAAACCUUUUUUUACAUUUUUACAAUUCAAACAACGAUCACUACAAUAAUAAUAAUUUAUAUUCAUAGGUUAGGUUAUGUACUUUAAAGAGCACGUUUGUUUCAUUGAUUUCCUCUGGUUCUACAGGUACUACUAUAGGUAUAUUAUUUUCCAUUUCCUCUUCUGGUUAUCUACGCUGUUGUAAGAACAUUCUAUUGCUCUUCAACUCAUUCGCUCUGAGGUUGGUUGUAUCAAUGUGAGAGGAGAUUUCUGUUGGUAAAUCAUCUAUUUUAUCAAUUUCCUCCAUUGGUUCUCUACACUGUUAGAAAGUUUUUGUUUGGUAUAAUUUAAACUCCCAACCACCUCGACUUGGGUAUUAUUAUUUAAUUAUUGAAGUAGACUAAUUCAUAAACUGUCACUGUCGCUUUGUGAUUAAACAUUCCAAAAAUUAGUGUGUUCACAAAAAUUUUCUUCUAUUCUCUGAAAGCAGUUUCUUGAGGUGUAGUCCACUUGAACUCGAUUCCCUUCUUGGUCAAUCUGGUCAGGGGUUCAGUUAGAGUGGCAUAGCUCCUGACAAACCGUCGUAAGAAUCCCGUGAGUCCUAAGAAUCUUCGGAUCACAUGGACAUCCUUCAGAGUAGGAAACUCUUCAAUCGCCUUACUCUUGCCCUUGCCUGGACUGAUUUUUCCUUCUCCGACCACAAACCCCAAAAACUCUAUACUCUUGGAUCCAAACAAGCAUUUGGACGGUCUCAGUGAGAGCAUGUUUGUUUCAUUGAUUUCCUUUGGUUCCAGAGGUACUAUAAGAACUAGAGGUACUACUAUCGGUAUAUUAUUUUCCAUUUCCUCUUCUGGUUCUCUACGCUGUUGUAAAAACAUUCUAUUGCUCUUCAACUCAUUCGCUCUGAGGUUGGUUGUAUCAACAUUUCUGUUGGUAAAUCAUCUAUUUUUUCCAUUUCCUCCACUGGUUCUCUACGCUGUUGUUAGAAAGUUUUUGUUUGGUGUAAGUAAAACUCCCAACCACCUUACUUGGUUAUUAUUAUUUUAUUAUCGAAGUAGACUAAUUCAAAGCAGCCUAGUGGUUUUACAAUUGUGUUUAUUUUUUAUUUUAUUUUUUUUUAUCUUGUGCACUAAAUUUCUACCAGAAGGAGUGCUUCGAUUUCAACAUAAAGUAUCUUAUCUUUUUAGCAAAUUAAAUCAAGAUGGUACUUUAGGGAGCAUGUUUGUUUCAUUGAUUUCCUCUGGUUUCAGAGGUACUGUAAGAACUAGAGGUACUAGUAUCGGUAUAUUGUUAUAUAUUUCGUCCAUUUCCUCUUCUGUUUCUCUACACUGUUGUAAGAACAUUAUAUUGCUCUUCAACUCAUUCGCUCUAUGGUUGGUUGUAUCAAUGUGAGUGGAGUUUUCUGUGUGUAAAAUCAUCUAUUUUAUCCAUUUCCUCCAUUGGUUCUCUACGCUGUUGUUAGAAAGUUUUUGUUUGGUAUAAGUAAAACUCCCAACCACAUUGAUUUGGGUACAGUGAAACCUGUAUAUAACGGACAGUCACGGGACCAAAAUAAUUGUCCGUUAUAGACAGGUUUCAAUGUUUUAAAAAUUAAAAUUUUUACGUACAUUUGUAUUGUUUUAUAUAUUGUUAUAUAUUUUAUAAUAUGUACAAUGUACAUAUUAGGUAUAAUCUUUAUUAAUAUUAUACAUAUAUGUAUUAUACACAUACAUUGUACAUUAUGAAUCUAAUUUUAAUUAUUUAUUACAAAAUGAUUCUAUUGAUGUUUGUUUUUUGAACUUUGAUUUGGUAAUUUCCAACUCGUGAUGGAUAAUUAAUUCGCUCACAUAUGAAAAUCCUUUUUCAUCGCCUUUAUUUAAAUAAAAUUCUUUCAGACGAAUAAGUUGUUCAAGAGCUCUCUAACCAGCCAUUGGAAGCUUUGAAAUCGUCAUACUUGAUUUCACGGGCAACUUCUAAAGUUUUUGCUUGAAUGAUUGGUCCAGACACAGACACAUUUUUAUUUCUUACAUGGUUAAACCACUCUAAAACAAUUUUAUCAAUCAAUUCACCUGGCCCGUUCCUCUGGAAUCAACGAGAUUUUUCGUUUGUGGAAUUUUCGUUGUAUCGACGUAAAAUAUCUUCUUUAUUCUUUAAGAGCCAAAUUUGUCAGCAAGUUAACGAAUAGACCAACCUCCGCUAGAGUGUUUUAAACGAAUAAUGUGCACCUUUUGUUUUAAAUUUAAAGCUUUACGCGGCACGGGAGGUGCCAUUGCUAAAGAAAAGAUGUACAACUCUGACUGCGAACGAUAGAAACUGAUUAAAAACGUUUGAUACCCAUGGUUAUCAUAUUUUAUACGUAUUGCAAUUUAUAUCUGGAUAUCUUGGACUUUAUAAAUUCAAUAGGCAAUUAGCGUUAUCGUAAUCGGCGAUAAUGACGUAAUUGGUCGUAUUCCGUGUUUUCACUGAAUGACCUAAUUGCGUUCCUCAUUGACGCUGUUUCGUAGUAUGUAUGUAUGUAUUUUUGUCCGUUAUGAAAUUGUUAGAUUAAAUAUUAGUGUCCGUGUCCGUAAUAUAAGGAGUCCGUUAUAGACAGGUCGAAAUACAUUAGAAUGUCUAUCUUUUUGCCGGGACCUGGUAAUUUUGUCCGUUAAGAGAGGUGUCCGUUAAGUCAGGUUUCACUGUAUUAUUAUUUUAUUAUUGAAGUAGACUAAUUCAUAAACUGUCACUGUUGCUUUGGGAUUAAACAUACAAAAGAUUAGUGUGUUCACAUAUAUAUUCUUCAACUCUGAAAGCAGUUUCUUGAACUCGAUUCCCUUCUUGGUCAAUCUGGUCAGGGGUUCAGUUAGCGUGGCAUAGUUCCUGACAAACCGCCGUAAGAAUCCCGUGAGUCCUAAGAAUCUUCGGAUCACAUGGACAUCCUUCAGAGUAGGAAACUCUUCAAUCGCCUUACUCUUGCCCUUGCCUGGACUGAUUUUUCCUUCUCCGACCACAAACCCCAAAAACUCUAUACUCUUGGAUCCAAACAAGCAUUUGGACGGUCUCAGUGAGAGCAUGUUUGUUUCAUUGAUUUCCUCUGGUUCCAGAGGUACUAUAAGAACUAGAGGUACUACUAUCGGUAUAUUAUUUUCCAUUUCCUCUUCUGGUUAUCUACGCUGUUGUUAGAAAGUUUUUGUUUGGUAUAAGUAAAACUCCCAACCACCUCGACUUGGAUAUUAUUAUUUUAUUAUUGAAGUAGACUAAUUCAAAGCGGCUAGUGCUUUUACAAUUGUGUUUAUUUUUUAUUUUUAUUUUUUUUUUAUCUUGUGCACUAAAUUUCUACCAGAAGGAGUGCUUCGAUUCCAACAUAUGGUAUCUUAUCUUUUUAGCAAAUUAAAUCAAGAUGGUACUUUAGAGAGCAUGUUUGUUUCAUUGAUUUCCUCUGGUUCCAGAGGUACUGUAAGAACUAGAGGUACUACUAUCGGUAUAUUAUUUUCCAUUUCCUCUUCUGGUUAUCUACGCUGUUGUUAGAAAGUUUUUGUUUGGUAUAAGUAAAACUCCCAACCACCUCGACUUGGAUAUUAUUAUUUUAUUAUUGAAGUAGACUAAUUCAAAGCGGCUAGUGCUUUUACAAUUGUGUUUAUUUUUUAUUUUUAUUUUUUUUUUAUCUUGUGCACUAAAUUUCUACCAGAAGGAGUGCUUCGAUUCCAACAUAUGGUAUCUUAUCUUUUUAGCAAAUUAAAUCAAGAUGGUACUUUAGAGAGCAUGUUUGUUUCAUUGAUUUCCUCUGGUUCCAGAGGUACUGUAAGAACUAGAGGUACUACUAUCGGUAUAUUAUUUUCCAUUUCCUCUUCUGGUUAUCUACGCUGUUGUUAGAAAGUUUUUGUUUGGUAUAAGUAAAACUCCCAACCACCUCGACUUGGAUAUUAUUAUUUUAUUAUCGAAGUAGACUAAUUCAAAGCGGCUAGUGCUUUUACAAUUGUGUUUAUUUUUUAUUUUAAUUUUUUUUUUAUCUUGUGCACUAAAUUUCUACCAGAAGGAGUGCUUCGAUUCCAACAUAUGGUAUCUUAUCUUUUUAGCAAAUUAAAUCAAGAUGGUACUUUAGAGAGCAUGUUUGUUUCAUUGAUUUCCUCUGGUUCCAGAGGUACUGUAAGAACUAGAGGUACUACUAUCGGUAUAUUAUUUUCCAUUUCCUCUUCUGGUUAUCUACGCUGUUGUUAGAAAGUUUUUGUUUGGUAUAAGUAAAACUCCCAACCACCUCGACUUGGAUAUUAUUAUUUUAUUAUCGAAGUAGACUAAUUCAAAGCGGCUAGUGCUUUUACAAUUGUGUUUAUUUUUUAUUUUAAUUUUUUUUUUAUCUUGUGCACUAAAUUUCUACCAGAAGGAGUGCUUCAAUUUCAACAUAAAGUAUCUUAUCUUUUUAGCAAAUUAAAUCAAGAUGGUACUUUAGAGAGCAUGUUUGUUUCAUUGAUUUCCUCUGGUUUCAGAGGUACUGUAAGAACUAGAGGUACUACUAUCGGUAUAUUGUUAUAUAUUUCGUCCAUUUCCUCUUCUGUUUCUCUACACUGUUGUAAGUUUUGUUUUAAUACCAAUAAGACAUAAGAAAACAAUUUAAACUAACUAACUUUCAGUUUAUUUAAUAGGGAGACAGUUGCACGUUUACAUGAUUUUAAAGAGUGAGUGUCAUACACACACUAAAAACCUAACCUACAAUUUAUGAACUUGGAUUGUUAUGCAACACAUAUUAUAUAACACACCCCCUCAAUCCAAAUUCAUUAAUAACAAUAACAAAUUAAUAAUAAUAAUUAACAACAGCAAUAAUAAUAAUGAAAUUACAAUCACUAUAGUAAAUAAUAAUUUUUUAAAUGUUAUACUUGGUAAGGAUUUAGUAAGUAAAUCUGCAACUUGGUUUUCAGUAGAAAUUUACUCUACCUACCAGUAUGUAAACCAAAUAAUAGAUAGAUGUAUAAUUAGAGAAAAUGUUGAAGCUGAGAUUUUGAAAGAUGAUUUGUAUGAAUGUGUUGACAAUUGUCAACUUAUUGAACAAAGAGUGUGGCAAAAUGUACUUAUUAAUGUUAAGAUAGAUUCUGCUAGUAUUCAUUUUGUUUCAAAGAAACCAGUAUCAGUAGAAUUGGUAGAAUAAUUAAAUCACAUUAACAUUUAGACAUGUAAUUUUAAAGCAUAUCUAUUACCUGUUUUGUAUUAUAGUAUAUAUUAUAUUUUCUUAUUUUAUUUUAUAUUCAUCAUAGGUAUUUAAUAUUUAUUAAAUUGUCACUAAAUAAGUAAUAUUGUGUCAUUAAUACAUUUUUUUUUUAAUUAUAUAUUAAUUGUUCAUUAGUUUUGUAUAAUAUGUAACUAUAUUUUGUAGGUAUGGUGUAUUUUGUUUUCUUUUAAAGUAUAAUAGUUUACUUAGUUACUGUAACGUUUUUGUAUUUUUCUUAUUGACUUAAUUACAAAAUAUUGUAUAUAACCUUAAAUAAUUAAAUACAUAGAUCAUAGUUAAAACAAGCAGUGUCAACUUAUGUGUUCAUGUAUGUGUGCAUGCUUGACUACAUGUUAUUAUAUUAAAACACCAUAUUAAUGAAA